rnacentral:lncRNA from 1 species
CGGUGGUGUGAUAUGCCGCUAGCCAAUCCAUCCCUAAAAUUACAUCAAAAUCCCUCGUGCCUAAUUCUAUUAGGUCUACACUCAGUUUCCUAUUUGCUAUCUCUACAGCACACGCCCUGUAGAUAACUUCUCCUAAUAGUGUUACACUCCCAGUAGUAUAUACAAAUAACAUUGAAUCAAGUUUAUCAGGUAAUACAUUAAUUUUGGAUGCAAAAAUAGGUGAAACAAAUGAAUGCGAUGCACUAGUAUCAAACAAAACAUGAGCAAGAUGGUUACAAAUAGUGUAACUGUGCCUCCCUGCUGACUGAGGGAGUGUGUGGAGGCUCCUCUCCACUAAUUGUGUCUUGUCCAGAACGGUUGAGUAUGUCUUGAGCUCCAGUACAAAUAGGUGUUGCUUGAUCUCUGGGCGGAGGCCCCACUGAAACCUCCUAGCCUUCCUGCCCUCAUCCGUCAACGUCUCAGGGGAGUAUCGGCCCAACCCAAGAACUUACAGGCAUAUUCUGACACCGUCAUGUUCCCCUGGACUAACUGGACAAACUCCAUCUCCUUAAGAUGUUGGAUGUGCUCUGAGAGUUACUCUGCAUGGAAGGCUGCUAAGAACUGUUUCUAAGUGACUGGAACAGGCAGGGUGGUCUGCUUGAGUUCCCACCAACGGUCUGCUUCUCCCACCAGCAUAUUAGUAGCAAGGGUGACCCUCUGCUCGGGAGUCACUCCUAGGGUCUUGAAGGCCUUCUUCGUCUCCGUCAACUAAUACUGGGCAUCUUCAAAUGAGGAUUCCCUUGCAAAAGUGGAUGGGUUCAGUCUCCUGUACCUCUCUACAUAACCUGGGUCAAUCAUGGAAGGAGCUGGGUCCUGCGGAAGAGGGACUCGGCAAAGCUGAGGAUAGACUUAGGGACCCUGUGGUGGUACUUGCUGAUAUGGUGGGGGCACCGAAUUAUACUGUGGCGGUGUCGGGUAGUACUGUGGCUGGGGCAUCGAAUUAUACUGUGGCGGUGGUACCGGGU